AGCUGACCUGGGGGCGGGGCCGGGGCGGGGACCUAAAGCCUCCGCUCCUUCCGAGUGGGUGAGUGGGUUCCCCGCCGGUCUCUUGCAGCGCUGCCUUUCUAUCCUUCCACAUCUCUGUGGCGCGGGCUCCCAAGAUGCGCCUCCACCUACUCCUGCUGCUCGCGCUGUGCGGUACAGAGACCACCGCUGCGGCGCUUAGCUACAGCUUGCGGGGAAACUGGAGCAUCUGCAAUGGGAACGGCUCGCUGGAGCUGCCCGGCGCGGUCCCCGGCUGCGUGCACAGCGCCUUGUUCCAGCAGGGCCUGAUCCAGGAUUCUUACUACAGAUUUAAUGACCUUAACUACAGAUGGAUCUCUUUGGAUAACUGGACCUACAGCAAGGAAUUUAAGAUCCCCUUUGAAAUUAGCAAAUGGCAAAAAGUAAAUUUGAUUCUUGAGGGAGUGGAUACAAUUUCAAAAAUCCUGUUCAAUGAAGUCACUAUUGGGGAAACAGACAAUAUGUUCAAUAGAUAUAGCUUUGAUAUUACCAAUGUGGUCAGGGACGUGAACUCCAUUGAGCUGCGUUUCCAGUCAGCAGUGUUGUACGCAGCACAGCAGAGCAAAGCUCACACACGCUACCCGGUGCCCCCGGACUGCCCUCCACUUGUGCAGAAGGGUGAAUGCCAUGUCAACUUUGUCCGGAAGGAGCAAUGUUCCUUUAGUUGGGACUGGGGACCUUCCUUUCCUACCCAGGGAAUCUGGAAAGAUGUUAGAAUUGAAGCCUAUAAUAAUUGUCACCUGAACGACUUCACAUUUUCCCCAAUAUAUGAUAAGAGUGCCCAGGCGUGGAAUCUGGAAAUAGAGGCUACAUUUGAUGUUGUCAGCUCAAAGCCAGUUGGUGGUCAAGUGAUCGUAGCCAUCCCUAAGUUGCAAACACAACAGAUGUACAACCUUGAACUUCAACCUGGGAAAAGGAUUGUUGAGCUAUUUUUGAACAUUAGCAAGAAUAUUACUGUAGAAACUUGGUGGCCUCAUGGACAUGGAAACCAGACUGGGUACAACAUGACUAUUCUUUUUGUACUGGAUGGAGGCUUAAAUAUCGAAAAAUCAGCUAAGGUUUAUUUUAGGACAGUGGAACUUAUAGAAGAGCCCAUAAAAGGGUCUCCUGGUUUGAGUUUCUAUUUCAAAAUUAAUGGAUUUCCCAUAUUUCUGAAAGGCUCAAACUGGAUCCCGGCAGAUUCAUUCCAGGACCGAGUAACCUCUGAGUUGUUACGGCUCCUUUUACAGUCUGUUGUGGAUGCUAACAUGAAUACUCUUCGGGUUUGGGGAGGAGGAAUUUAUGAGCAGGAUGAGUUCUAUGAACUCUGUGAUGAACUAGGAAUAAUGGUAUGGCAGGAUUUUAUGUUUGCCUGUGCCCUUUAUCCAACUGAUCAGGGCUUCCUGGAUUCAGUGAGAGCAGAAGUUGCCUACCAGAUCAAGAGACUGAAAUCUCAUCCUUCUAUCAUCAUAUGGAGUGGCAAUAAUGAAAAUGAGGAGGCGCUGAUGAUGAAUUGGUACCGUAUCAGUAUCACUGACCGGCCAAUCUACAUCAAGGACUAUGUGACACUCUAUGUGAAAAACAUCAGAGAGCUCGUAUUGGCAGGAGACAAGAGUCGUCCUUUCAUUACGUCCAGUCCUACAAAUGGGGCUGAAACUGUUGCAGAAGGCUGGGUCUCUCAAAACCCUAAUAGCAAUUAUUUUGGUGAUGUACAUUUUUAUGACUAUAUCAGUGAUUGCUGGAACUGGAAAGUUUUCCCAAGAGCUCGAUUUGCAUCUGAAUAUGGAUAUCAGUCCUGGCCAUCCUUCAGUACAUUAGAAAAGGUCUCAUCUACAGAGGACUGGUCUUUCAGUAGCAAGUUUUCACUUCAUCGACAACAUCACGAAGGUGGUAACAAACAAAUGCUUUAUCAGGCUGGACUUCAUUUCAAACUCCCCGAGAGCACAGAUCCAUUACGCACAUUUAAAGAUACCAUCUACCUUACUCAGGUGAUGCAGGCCCAGUGUGUCAAAACAGAAACUGAAUUCUACCGCCGCAGUCGCAGUGAGAUAGUGGAUCAGCAAGGGCACACGAUGGGGGCGCUGUAUUGGCAGUUGAAUGACAUCUGGCAAGCUCCUUCCUGGGCUUCUCUUGAACCCCGAGGAGCCACACGCAGCUGGGCCAUUGGACAAUGCCUCUCUGACUACUUGACCUUGCCAUCUCCUGACACUCUUGAUUAUUUUCAGAGUAUGGAGGAAAGUGGAAAAUGCUUCAUUACUUUGCUCAGAAUUUCUUUGCUCCACUGUUACCAGUAGGCUUUGAGAAUGAAAACACGUUCUAUAUCUAUGGUGUGUCAGAUCUUCACUCGGACUAUUCGAUGACACUCACUGUGAGAGUCCAUACGUGGAGCUCCCUGGAGCCCGUGUGCUCCUGUGUGACUGAACAUUUGGUGAUGAAAGGAGGAGAGGCUGUCCGCCUCUAUGAGGAGCCAGUGUCUGAAUUGCUGAGGAGAUGUGGGAAUUGCACACGGGAAAGCUGUGUGGUUUCCUUUUACCUUUCAGCGGACCAUGAACUCCUGAGCCCGACCAACUACCACUUCCUGUCCUCACUGAAGGAGGCUGUUGGGCUCUGCAAGGCGCAGAUCGCUGCCAUCAUCUCUCAGCAAGGUGACAUAUUUGUUUUUUAUCUGGAGACCUCAGCUGUCGCUCCCUUUGUCUGGUUGGAUGUAGGCAGCAUCCCAGGGAGAUUUAGUGACAACGGUUUCCUCAUGACUGAGAAGACACGAACUAUAUUAUUUUACCCUUGGGAGCCCACCAGCAAGAGUGAGUUGGAGCAAUCUUUUCAUGUAACCUCCCUAACAGAUAUUUACUAAAGGAAUCUAGGUUGUAUUUUCAGUGGACAAUGGGAAUAAAGCAUUUCUAAAGCACUGGCUGGAGAGGAAGGCAACAGAGACAAGGAGAGAAGCCAAGGGACAUGUCUGUGUGCCGCCACCCAUCUGAGCGAUUGCUCUGCGAAGAGUUGUACACUGAACACUUUCAGGGCAGCCUGUUUUCCCAGGCAAUGUCCUGAAACAAGCCUGUGCCGGGGUGUCCUGGAAUCUCUGCCAGGACUGUGUUUUUAGCCCUUCACCUUUCAGCUUUAGCAGGACCUGAACCAGUUAUAACAAGAUGGCCCUGCAGCUGGUUACAAGAAUGUGACAUGGCAGGAUCUAUAGAACCAAACAGAAGGUUUUAAGGUGAUGUAGGUCUUUCAUAGUUAGCUUUGGGGAAUACUGAAUACACAAAUGAAGUGCUUUGUUAUUAUUUCAGAGGGAAUGGCGAUUGAAAUGCUACAACAGAGAUUUCUUGGUGGUAGCCAUAUUGAUAGACAAUUUAGGAGGUUUAUUGGUUUAUUGUUGCUAUUUGAUUACUGUUUGGGGUAGGACACUUUUUUCUUUUAUGGGUUUUGUUGUAAGAUAUUGUUUUAACAACAACUUCUUUUUUUAAAGGCUGUUAGAGUGAUCUUCCUUUGAAAAAUGUGCUCACAUGGAAAUGAAUGCCACUGAGAUCACUGGAAAUUUCUAGGGGUUCUGACAUUGGUCAUCACCCAUGUGGGCUUUAGACUUGGCUAAAUCCAAUAUGCUUUCCAAUGCAAAGCCUGCGAAUUGGAUUUAAACUUGUUGGCCCUGGCAGCAAAAUGGUAUUCCUUUUAGCCUUUUUAUUUUUAUUGACUAAUUAUAAAUUGCUAUAGAAUUGUCUUAUUAUACAUUAUUCUGUUUAUAAAAUUACAUUGAUGAUAAAGCAAAUGAGGCAAAAUGUUAAUGAGUAGCUAUUUGGGUAAAGGUAUAUGGGUAUUUUUCUGUGCGUGUGAAAUUAUAUGAAAAUAAAAGUUACAUAAAUUACAUUGA